CCUACGGGAGGCAGCAGUGGGGAAUCUUGCGCAAUGGGCGAAAGCCUGACGCAGCGACGCCGCGUGGGUGAUGAAGGCCUUCGGGUUGUAAAGCUCUGUGGGGAGAGACGAAUAAGACGUGGCUAACAUCCACGGCGAUGACGGUAUCUCCUUAGCAAGCACCGGCUAACUCUGUGCCAGCAGCCGCGGUAAGACAGAGGGUGCAAACGUUGUUCGGAAUUACUGGGCGUAAAGCGUGUGUAGGCGGCCAGGUAAGUUGGAUGUGAAAGCCCGGGGCUCAACCCCGGAAGUGCAUUCAAAACUGCUUGGCUUGAGUAUCGGAGAGGUUGGUGGAAUUCUCGGUGUAGAGGUGAAAUUCGUAGAUAUCGAGAGGAACACCGGUGGCGAAGGCGGCCAACUGGACGAAUACUGACGCUGAGACACGAAAGCGUGGGGAGCAAACAGGAUUAGAUACCCUGGUAGUCCACGCCGUAAACGAUGGGUGCUAGGUGUCACGGGCAUUGACUCCCGUGGUGCCGUAGCCAACGCAUUAAGCACCCCGCCUGGGAAGUACGGCCGCAAGGCUAAAACUCAAAGGAAUUGACGG
rnacentral:rRNA from 1 species